UACAGAGGUGGCAAGCGUUGUUCGGAAUUACUGGGCGUAAAGGGCGCGUAGGCGGUCCUCUAAGUUCCGUGUGAAAUCCCUCGGCUCAACUGGGGAACUGCACGGAAAACUGGAAGGCUUGAGUUCGGGAGAGGGAAGCGGAAUUCCGGGUGUAGCGGUGAAAUGCGUAGAUAUCCGGAGGAACACCGGUGGCGAAGGCGGCUUCCUGGACCGACACUGACGCUGAGGCGCGAAAGCCAGGGGAGCAAACGGG
rnacentral:rRNA from 1 species